CCAGACUCCUACGGGAGGCAGCAGUGGGGAAUAUUGCACAAUGGGGGGAACCCUGAUGCAGCGACGCCGCGUGGGUGAAGAAGUAUUUCGGUAUGUAAAGCCCUAUCAGCAGGGAAGAAAAAUGACGGUACCUGACUAAGAAGCACCGGCUAAAUACGUGCCAGCAGCCGCGGUAAUACGUAUGGUGCAAGCGUUAUCCGGAUUUACUGGGUGUAAAGGGAGCGUAGACGGCGACGCAAGUCUGAAGUGAAAUGCCAGUGCUCAACACUGGAACUGCUUUGGAAACUGUGUAGCUAGAGUGCAGGAGAGGUAAGUGGAAUUCCUAGUGUAGCGGUGAAAUGCGUAGAUAUUAGGAGGAACACCAGUGGCGAAGGCGGCUUACUGGACUGUAACUGACGUUGAGGCUCGAAGGCGUGGGGAGCAAACAGGAUUAGAUACCCCGGUACA
rnacentral:rRNA from 1 species